GACGAACGCUGGCGGCGUGCUUAACACAUGCAAGUCGAACGGAAAGGCCCUGCUUUUGUGGGGUGCUCGAGUGGCGAACGGGUGAGUAACACGUGAGUAACCUGCCCUUGACUUUGGGAUAACUUCGGGAAACGGGGCCUAAUCCGGGAAAGGAGCUCCUGCUGCAGGGGGGGGGUGGGAAGGUUUCGGCGGUUGGGGAUGGACUCGCGGCUUAUCAGCUUGUUGGUGGGGUAGUGGCUUACCAAGGCUUUGACGGGUAGCCGGCCUGAGAGGGUGACCGGCCACAUUGGGACUGAGAUACGGCCCAGACUCCUACGGGAGGCAGCAGUGGGGAAUAUUGCACAAUGGGCGGAAGCCUGAUGCAGCAACGCCGCGUGCGGGAUGACGGCCUUCGGGUUGUAAACCGCUUUCGCCUGUGACGAAGCGUGAGUGACGGUAAUGGGUAAAGAAGCACCGGCUAACUACGUG
rnacentral:rRNA from 1 species